rnacentral:rRNA from 1 species
UACGUAGGGUGCAAGCGUUAAUCGGAAUUACUGGGCGUAAAGCGUGCGCAGGCGGUCCGUUAAGACAGAUGUGAAAUCCCCGGGCUUAACCUGGGAACUGCAACCAAAACUGUAAGACUGGAGUACUGUAGAGGGUAGUGGAAUUCCCGGUGUAGCGGUGAAAUGCGCAGAUAUCGGGAAGAACACCCGUGGCGGAGGCGGCUCUCUGGGACGGUACUGACGCUGAGACGCGAAAGCGUGGGGAGCGAACAGG